GGUUUCUCUGUGUAACAGAGCCCUAGCUGUCCUGGACUUGCUUUGUAAACCAGGCUGACCUUGAACUCACAGAGCCCUGUCUACCUCUGUCUCCUAGUGCAGGAAUCAAAGGCAUGUGUCACCAUGCCCGGUGGAUGUCCUCUAUCUUAUUCUAUUAAAAAUAAAGCAGGUUAGGGCUGGAGUGAUGGCUCAGAUAGCUCAGUGGUUAGGAACACUGGUUGCUCUUGCAGAGGACCUGCAUUUAGUUCCUAGCACCUGCAUGGAAGCUCUCAAUCAUCAGAAACUCCAGUUCUAGGGUAUCUUGACACCAUCUUCUAUGGACAUUAGGCCUACACAAAAUGCAGGCAAAAGACUCACAGAUAAAAUACAAUAAGUGGCCGGGCGUGGUGGUGCACGCCUUUAAUCCCAGCAUUAGGGAGGCAGAGGCAGGAGGAUUUCUGAGUUCGAGGCCAGCCUGGUCUACAAAGUGAGUUCCAGGACAGCCAGGGCUAUACAGAGAAACUCUGUCUCGAAAAACCAAAAAAACAAAACAAAACAAAACAAAACAAAACAAAACCAAUAAAUGCAGCAAGGCAGGGGCUGACUGGUCAGGUGAUGCCAGCGGCAAGUGCUUGCUGCACACACAAGAGCACCCGUGCCUUCCCUAGGGUCCCUGUGAAGGACCUGGAGUGUCGGUUAACACUUGGAAUUUCAGUGCUUGCACCUGGACACAGGGGGACCCCUUGGGCUUGCUGGCUUAAUUUAGUCGGCGGGCUCCAAGUCCCUCAGAGAGACCUUGCCUCAAAAAAAAAAAAAAAAAAUCAAGGUGGGCCGGGCGGUGGUGGUGUACACCUUUAAUCCCAGCAUUCGGGGCGAGAGGCAGAGGCAAGCAGAGUUCUGUAAGUUAGAGGCCAGCCUGGUCUACAGAGGGAGUUCCUGGAUAGCCACGGCUAUACAGAGAUACCCUGUCUAGAAAAACAAACAAAUAAACAAACAAAAAACCAGACAAGCAAAAACAACAGUAACAAAAAACCAAGAUGGAUGGCAUUCCUGAAGAUGACAUCCCAGGCUGACCUCUGUCCACAGCCUGCACUCAGAGGUGGACAUGUAUUAACUUAGUGUCUGUAUGUGGUGCUGGAAUUGAACUCGGGGCCUUACCCAUGCUAGGCAAGUACUCUACCACUCAGCUAACUCAGCUACACCAGAGCCCCCAUCCUGUACCCAAACACACACACACACACACACACACACACACACACACACACACACAGAAAGAGAGAGAGAGAGAGAGAGAGAGAGAGAGAGAGAGAGAGAGAGAGAGAAUAAACAUACAAGGUUAUAAGGCUGUAUAACAGUAAGACACCAUUUUAUUCAAUGAAACAAGAAGUUUCUCCGUGAGAACGGAUAUCUGCCGCCAAGGUGUUAACAGAUGAUUUUCAUUGUUUUCUCUGGGCUUAUCUGUGUUUCCUAUUUUUUUCAAUGAAUAUCAAUUAUUUGCAUGAUUUUAAAGAGCAAUAAAAAUAAAUCAACUCCAGACUGUUUGUACUUUUUCUUGUGCUCAUCCCCAACCCAGCAGCUCUCAAAAAAAUAUGCAUAUAUAUAUGUCAAUCAUUACAACACUCUCGAAUAUUCCCUUCCUCUCCCUCUGUCACUCUGACAACUGGGUUGAGGGGAGGGGCUCUGCUGCUCUCAGAAGCCCCCUGCUGACUAGUGGAUGGAGAGAAGGCUGUGGUCUUCUGAGAGCACCUAAAGGCCUCCCUCCCUCCCUCCCUCUCUCCCUCCAUCCCUUCCCACCCCCUUCUCUCCCUACCUCUCUGCCAAGCCAUGCAUACCUGGGUGGGCUUUCUAGUUAUUAUUUGUUUCUGCAGGUGAUGCUGGCCUCAGAGGGCAAGGAGCUCUGACCCACUCUCUGAUUGUCUUGUUGGCGCCAACCUGAAGCCCAGGGACACAUGGCACAGUGUGGGACCCCCUUCUCCACUGCUGAAGUGAAAACUGACCCCAUUGUUGUCAAAUAAAGUGUGGCAGAUUUGCAGUCGCAGGUGAUUGCCCCUUUGCUCUGCAAGCAAAAGCAAUGGCUCAGGGCACAGCCAUACUAAUCCCUUCUGAAAGGCUUCAGGGAAGGGAAGGAAACCAUGGAAACUGUUUCUUCAGAGCAUCUAUUGGGCAUGUGGCUGGGGUCUAUCUUGGGCCACUCGUGCCUUUGUUUGUUUGUUUGUUUUGAGACAGGGUUUCUCUGUGUAACCCUGGCUGUCCUGGAACUCACUUUGUAGACCAGGCUGGCCUCGAACUCAGAAAUCUGCCUGCUUUGGCCUCCCAAGUGCUGGGAUUAAAGGCAUGCGCCACCACCGCCCUACUCUUGCCUCUUAUAUACCUUCCCAAGGUAUAUCGGAGCAACCCAGGCAGAGAGAGCUCAGAUUUGAGGAGGCUGACUCUGGCGAAUCUGAUGGUGAUCAUCUUAGAGAGAGAGAAGUGGGUACUGGCUUUUCCUCCCUAGGACUAUACUGUCUGGGCACCCCAGAACACAGACUCCUCAGGAUCAGAUCAAGGCUGGAUCAUUUUAGGGGAGGGAAAGGUUUCCUGAAGUCUUGCAAGUUUAAUGAUGAGCCACCGAGCUUAUCAUUACCACCGUCAAUUCAGAGCUGGUUAAAAGAGGCAGCUAUGAUCUAGGAGACCUGCCUUGGCCCUGAAAGACUAGGACUCAAGGAAAGGAACAAUGGGCCCUUCGAGUCCCCAGGACCCACCUUUAAAUCAACCUCCCUGGAGGUGUCAGGCCUUGCCACCUGGAAAGAGCUCCUGUCAUCCCAAGGCCUUUUACACUCUCGGGAUGGAUGGAAUCGAUACAUGGCACUCUUCUUAGCUCUGUUCCCGAUUACCAGGUCACCUUGGCCAAGUCACUCCUCCCAACCCCCAGCCCUUCUACCCACACAGUGUAGGGCAAAGACAGGUUUGGAAGGGCGUGGCUGAAGAAUGCCCAGCUGCCUGCCAACAUUUCUGCUUGACUCUGGAGUCUGGUGGUAAAGUUCCAUGACCCAGUGUAACCUGGUGUGGCUGCAGAAAUCAAAGUGUGAUCGGUAGCGACACCAUGUGGACACAGUGAGUAACUUCAUUGGCUUGCACAGAAGCCUCAGGGUGACUUCCAGCUUCCCUUCAUUAUGGGGAGAGGCGCUGAUUGCAAUUAAUCACAUUCAUCAUCUUACGUGGGGAGCUGUCUUGGAGCUGGCAAAGAAAAUCCCAAAUCAGAAGACAGUCUCCCAGCCAGAUCUCCCUGCUGUAAGCCUUCAGCUAGACACCUGUUUUGUUUAAAUUUUCAAAUACUGCCUUGAUAGAAGAGUCUGGUGUAACGAAGGGAGUAUGACUAACGGUAAUCACAACGUUAAUAAAAAUUUAACAGGCUGUUUACUCUUGCCAUGGCUCUCACAGACAUCACCUCAUUUCAUGUCCCCAAUAGCCCUGGGAGGUACUUACUCCUGUCCCCAAUUUUCAGAUGCAGAAUGUGAGCUGUGUCUGGGAGGGGAAACUAGAUUUCAAACCUAAGCAGCCUGGCAUCAGACUCCAUUUUCUUCUUUGUUUUGUUCGGAGUCAGAGUCUUACCAGGCAACUCAGGCUGGCCUCCGACUCAAGAUCUUCAUGCCUCAGUGUCCUGUGUGCUAUGACAACAGGCUCUUGGGACAACGCCCAGAUGACCCUAGUUCAUUCCCUCCCUCCCUCCCUCCUUCCCAUACUUCCUUCCUUUCCUUCUCUCCAUCCCCAUUUUUUUUUCUUUAAAUAUAUGGCCUCCUUUAUGUGUGCAGGCACUUUGUCUGUGUGUAUGUCUGUGUACCGCAUACCUGCUGAGUGCCCACGGAGGCCAGAAGCAGUUGGAUCCUUUGGGACUAGAGUGAGAGAUGGUUGUGAACCACCUUGUGGGUGUUGGGAGUUAAACCUGGGUCCUCUACCCUGACCUGUUCUAGACCUCCUAUCUUUUCUUUCUUCUUCCUCCUCCUCCUCCUCUUCCUCCUUCUUUUCAUUCUUUUAUUCUUGAGACUAGGUUUCAUGCAGCCUAGGUUGCCCUGGAACUCACUAAAUAACCAAAAUGGAUAACCUGGAAAUUAUGAUUUUUUAAAAUAUUUAUUUACUACUAUAUGUAAGUAUACUAUAGCUGUCUUCAGACACCCCAGAAGAGGGUGUCAGAUCUCAUUACAAAUGGUUGUGAGCCACCAUGUGGUUGCUGAGAUUUGAACUCAGGCCCUUCGGAAGAGCAGUCAGUGCUCUUAACUACUGAGCCAUUGAAAGGAAAUAAAACUUGAGACCUGUGAUUCAUGUAAUAUAUGUCAAAAAGCCCAAAGAGUUGUUUGUGAGCUUUAAAACCAGGGGCUAAGAACAUAACAGAACAGGCCAGGACAUGCCCGGGCAGGCCCGUCGUCACAUGUCCUGACUGGCCUAGUGCCUCCCUAUCUCCCACCCUUCUGACAGUCUGUUGAUGUUUAAAUGGACCAAUCAUGUGAAACCGUGCCAAUUCCUCCUCCAGCCCCACCCCUUUUCUAUAAAAACCCCUAGCUUCCAAGCCUCGGGGUCGAAACCACUGUCUCCUGCGUGAGAUACAUUUUGAACCGGAGCUCCGCCAUUAUGGCUCCACCAUCGUCAUUAAACUACCUCAUGCUUUUACAUCAAGAUGGUCGUCUGUUCGUGAUUCUUGGGUGCGCGCCAAACAGAAAUUGAGUGGGGGUUUCCCCACUAGGUUCUUUCACCAUCUCUCCAGCUGGAAAUUCUGAUUCUUGUGGCUCUACCUCUAGGAUUAUAAACUUGAACUAUCACAUAUGGUUUUUGUUUGUUUUGAGUUUGUUGUUGUUGUUGGUGGUGGUGGUUUUUCUUGAAACAGGGUUCCUUUGAGUAGCCCUGGCUGUCCUGGAACUCACCCUGUAAACCAGGCUGGUCUUGAACUCAGAAAUCCACCUGCCUUUGCCUCUGGAGUCCCGAGACUAAAGGUGUGCACCACCCACUACCUGGCUUCACAUGAUUUUGUAUUCAGUGCUGAGGCUCAAACUCAGGGCCCUAGGGCAAAUACUUUAUCAACUGAGCUACAUCCCACACCCAAAAGAAUCUCCCAUUCCCUUCCAACUUCUUUCAAACAUUUUA
rnacentral:lncRNA from 1 species